rnacentral:lncRNA from 1 species
GCCCCCCGCCGGCUCCGAGCGCCCCGGAGCGGGGCGGCGCAGCCCGGCGCCUCGCACCGGUUCGGCCGGGCCCGCGCCCGCCUCCGCCUCCUCGCCUUUCCCCGCGCCGGGGACGGAGCGCGGCUCGCCCCGCGACCCCGCGGCCCGCGCCGCCGCCUCAUCCGCGCCGAGCCGCAGCCGCCGCCCCCCCGGGGCGAAGGCCCGGCGGGCCCCGGAGCGGCGGGCGGCCGGGGCCGGGCCUGGCGCAAAGCGGCGGCGGGGCCGGAACAGGCCGCGAGCCUGGUGCGCCCGGCGGGCCUUCCCCUUCCACCCGACGGCGGGCUCGCCGGCCGCCUGCCCACGCGGCCCCCGGCGCCGGGCAGCCGAGCCGGGGCGGUCCCGGCAGCGCUCCUUACCGAGGCCCGCGAGAGACGGGAACCGAGAAGCCGAGGCCGAGCGGCGGCGAAGCCCGAAACUGACACGGCGGCCAUCUUGGUGCCCGUUGGCGUGCGGAGCCGCGUGCCGUGCCCGUACCACUCACAUGCACGUGCUCGAAAACUGCUCUCUCCUUAGGCGGCUUUGUGAGCAGGCUCCACAGAGCUGGCUCUUUGUCACUGGAAUCAGAGGGAACCCACUGGGGAGCAUCCACCCUAGGCUAAUACAGGCAGCAGCAUGGCUCUGCCCUGCAGGUGUACGGCGUUGGACCUACUGUCUGUCAAAAGCUGGCAGAAAAGAGCAAAUUCUAAUUUUACGAAAUAAUGGCAUUCUCUCCUAGGUUGUACUUGGUUAAAAUAAUCUCACUUUGUUAUUUAUACUACGUGGUUACGUGCUGCGUGCAGUUCCCUAACCUUUUUUUAAAACAGCUGUGUAUGCACGAAGUCAGGUACACAUUUUUCAGUGUUAUCUUAAAGGACAACUGCUGGGUAAAGAUUCAUGCAAGCUUCCCUUUUCAGAAAAGAAAAAAUCUUAAGAAACGUCAUGAAGACAGUUGAUAAAGCAACAAAGUGGUGUUUUCUGAAUGGCUUUGUUCAAUGUCUUGUGGUGAGAAAUUUCUCUUCUGAGCAAGAGGAAAUCUUUGAUGUUUUAACAAAUAGGUUUUUCAGUAUGCACAUGAAUUGCUUGUUACUUGAACUGUUUGGGAAGCCAGUGGAGUUUGAGGUGCUCUUGUACGAGGUAUUGUACAAACAGUUCUGUUCCUCUCAUGCAAACUGU